UACGGAGGGUGCAAACGUUGCUCGGAAUCAUUGGGCGUAAAGCGCACGUAGGUGGCUUGUUAAGUCGGGUGUGAAAUCCCUGGGCUCAACCCAGGAAGUGCACUCGAAACUGGCGAGCUUGAGUACUGAAGAGGGUCGCGGAAUUCCCGGUGUAGAGGUGAAAUUCGUAGAUAUCGGGAGGAACACCGGUGGCGAAGGCGGCGAUCUGGGUCGAUACUGACGCUGAGGUGCGAAAGCGUGGGGAGCAAACAGG
rnacentral:rRNA from 1 species